rnacentral:rRNA from 1 species
GAGUUUGAUCGUGGCUCAGAGCGAACGCUGGCGGCAGGCUUAAUACAUGCAAGUCGAGCGCCCGUAGCAAUACGGGAGCGGCAGACGGGAGAGUAACACGUGGGAACGUGCCCUUUAGUUCGGAACAACCAAGGGAAACUUUGGCUAAUACCGGAUACGCCCUUACGGGGAAAGAUUUAUCGCUAAAGGAGCGGCCCGCGUCUGAUUAGCUAGUUGGUGAGGUAACGGCUCACCAAGGCGACGAUCAGUAGCUGGUCUGAGAGGAUGACCAGCCUCACUGGGACUGAGACACGGCCCAGACUCCUACGGGAGGCAGCAGUAGGGAAUAUUGGACAAUGGGGGAAACCCUGAUCCAGCCAUGCCGCGUGAGUGAUGAAGGCCUUAGGGUUGUAAAGCUCUUUUUAGCAGGGAAGAUAAUGACGGUACCUGCAGAAAAAGCCCCGGCUAACUUCGUGCCAGCCG